CUGGGGCCGCGCUGCAAAAUCCGCAUGGGAGAAGCACAGCUCAGGGACCGGGGAGUUUUUAAAAGAUAAAGACCCGUACGUCAGCUUGAACGGGGACUGUGAGGGGUGACAGUAAGGAAGAAAAGACUGGGGAAAAACAUCUUGCAGCCGCCAAAUUUUAAACAAGGUAAAACCCCAGCGAGAGCUGAGCUGCAGCGCCUGCUCCCAUGGCUGCUCCUGCACCCCCAGAGCCCAUUCAGCUUGCAGCUGGGCAACAAAACCCGUGGGGAGACCUAAACUGCGGCACAUCAGCAGAGAGAUGGGUGUGACUCGGUGCAUGCACAGAAGGUCCUGGAGGGUUUGUUCCAGCGUCUGAGGCUGCGCAAGGCUCUGCACUCUCAACAUGCUACUUGAAGGAGAAGAACUCCUUUCUGCAUUAAAACAAAGAGAAUCAAGGAAACACUUGGGAUCGUGCUCGCCCUCGGAGGUACACGGUGUAACAGCACACCUACAAAGUUAGCGCAAAAUGAGGAACCUGCCUCUGGAGCAGGCCU